UCUCCAAUCUUAGUCCACCCCAUGUGCCUCUCCAAACCAUGCGCCUGGUUGCCCCAAACCUCUCUUUUGAUCUGUAAACCCUGCAUUAUUUUAGACUAUCUCAUUAAUGGCAUUGCUUUUUCUUUCUUUUUUUUUUAAAAAAACCAACAAAUAAGGCUGAAAAACUGAUAUACUGUAUUGCUGUGUAGCACAAGGAGGAUGGUUCAAAACAGAAGGAAAAUGCAAUUUUAAGGUGCUAUAUAUUCUGGACGGGGGUACCUGUUGCUGGGUUUUUGCAGGUAAAGGCAGGGAAGGAAUUCAGCCAGGUACUUAUUGAGCUAAUCAUGAAUAUAUCUUCAUUGUGGACUUCAACUCCCAGAAUUCCCCAGCCAGCAUCACUGGGAAUUUUGGGAGUUGAAGUCCGCAGGUCUUAAAAGUUACCAAAGUCUAGAAACCUCAUUUACUAUGAGGUCAAUUCAGUAUUAGAGCAAACAGUAUUUACUGAAUUCCUUUCCCACUUAUAUAGAAGAUAUCCAGUAUUCAAUUACCUGCGCCAGUCCCUCCUCUGCUGAAAAAUUGAAAAAGGUUUGUUUUCAAGGGUUUUAACCAUGGUUUCUAAAUCGAGAUAAACCCCGGCCUGGUUUGGCCCCAAAGAUAAGUUUCAGUAGAAGGACUAGAUUUUGAAAUGGCGAUACUUGGAUCUGAACAAGAUCCACAGAGUUUGGGCCAUUGGAGAAAUCAGCGUGGCAGUUUGCAAAGGCUGCGUUUCCAAAAUUCAGAGUUAGUCUCCUGCAGGGAAUCAACAGUGAAAGAAAGCUAAGCUUGGAAUGCGUGAUUUCUUGCGAUGAACGCAUUAAAUCGCUGGGAUGUUCCAUAAGGCUGGACAUCGGAGGGGAUAAAACGGAGAAGAACGUAGCCGUAGGUGAUUAAAAGUGUGAAGAAGGGGAAGUGUUGGAAAAGUUGUAAGAAAAGGCAAGAGGCUCGCUGGAUUAUGACCAUUUACUUGGCUCUUAAUCCAUGGAAUUUCAGAAUUAUGGGAACCGCGAGGGUCAUCUAGUCCAGCCCUAGGCAACAGGAAGGAAAUGCAUUGCUUUUAAACCCUUCCAAGUAGCUUCUCGCUGUUUUUUUUUUUUUCCUGGAGUGCAAUUCUAGGCAGGUGUAGAAUUUAUUCCACAGGUUUUUGUUACUUGUAGCUGAAAACCCCCACUUAAAUGACUGGCAGAAGAGAUUUCGGGGGGUGAGGGGUAAACUGAGGGCAGGUCUCUUUAGUCUGCAAAGCUUCAGCCUGUGUGGAUUUGAACCCUUGGCUAAUUGCUGAACAUGUGUGUGUGUGUGUGUGUGUGUGUGUG